AACGAAUGCUGGCGGCAGGCUUAACACAUGCAAGUCGAACGCAUCCUUCGGGGUGAGUGGCAGACGGGUGAGUAACGCGUGGGAACGUGCCCUUCAGUUCGGAAUAACCCAGGGAAACUUGGGCUAAUACCGGAUACGUGCGAGAGCAGAAAGAUUUAUCGCUGAAGGAUCGGCCCGCGUCUGAUUAGCUAGUUGGUGAGGUAAUGGCUCACCAAGGCGACGAUCAGUAGCUGGUCUGAGAGGAUGAUCAGCCACAUUGGGACUGAGACACGGCCCAAACUCCUACGGGAGGCAGCAGUGGGGAAUAUUGGACAAUGGGCGCAAGCCUGAUCCAGCCAUGCCGCGUGAGUGAUGACGGCCUUAGGGUUGUAAAGCUCUUUCGUCCGGGACGAUAAUGACGGUACCGGAAGAAGAAGCCCCGGCUAACUUCGUGCCAGCCGCCGCAGUAAAAC
rnacentral:rRNA from 1 species